rnacentral:rRNA from 1 species
AAAGUCUAACCUGCCCUAUGAAAUGUAAUUUUAAAUGGCUGCAGUAGACUGACUGUGCAAAGGUAGCAUAAUAAUUAGUUUUUUAAUUGGGAACUGGUAUGAAUGGUCUAACGAGAAAAAGACUGUCUCAAUUUAAUUUAAAUUAGAAUUUUAUCUUUAAGUAAAAAAGCUUAAAUGCCCUUAAAAGACGAGAAGACCCUAUAGAGUUUUAUAAAAUUUUAUAAUUUUAAAAGUUAAAGUAUUUUAGAUUUAAUUUUAUAAAAUUUUAUUUGGUUGGGGAGAUUAAAAAAUUAAAAGAACUUUUUUUAUUUUAUACCAUUGAUAUAUGAAUAAGUGAUCCA